rnacentral:lncRNA from 1 species
AAGUGGCACUCGUGGGCUCUACCGAACCGAGUAUGCAAGCGUGUCUCUGCUGAGCUCAAUCUGGCUCUCACAGGCUGUAAUCAAAGUAGAAUGGUCUAACUAGUCUAACAACCAUAAUCUACAUGCCCUCGGCACAAUCCAAUACAAAAAUUGCAAACUGGGUCCACAGUCAACCACAACGGCACCUGACAAUCCGGAACAAUCUGUAUACUACUGUAAAAAUACACUCGACAUCCCAGUACGAACGUAAUAUCAUUCUACACUAUUCUGGGUAUCCACCACUCACAAACUACGGCGAUACAAACCAACUAUGGCUCCUAGAGUUAAAUCUU